rnacentral:rRNA from 1 species
GAUGAACGCUGGCGGCGUGCUUAACACAUGCAAGCCGAACGAUGAAGCCCAGCUUGCUGGGUGGAUUAGUGGCGAACGGGUGAGUAACACGUGAGUAACCUGCCCUUGACUCUGGGAUAAGCCUGGGAAACUGGGUCUAAUACCGGAUAGGAACGUCCACCGCAUGGUAGUUGUUGGAAAGAUUUAUCGGUCAUGGAUGGACUCGCGGCCUAUCAGCUUGUUGGUGAGGUAAUGGCUCACCAAGGCGACGACGGGUAGCCGGCCUGAGAGGGUGACCGGCCACACUGGGACUGAGACACGGCCCAGACUCCUACGGGAGGCAGCAGUGGGGAAUAUUGCACAAUGGGCGAAAGCCUGGUGCAGCGACGCCGCGUGAGGGAUGACGGCCUUCGGGUUGUAAACCUCUUUCAGUAGGGAAGAAGCGAAAGUGACGGUACCUGCAGAAGAAGCACCGGCUAACUACGUGCCAGCAGCCGCGGUAAAAC